rnacentral:rRNA from 1 species
AACGAACGCUGGCGGCAUGCCUAACACAUGCAAGUCGAACGAAGGCUUCGGCCUUAGUGGCGCACGGGUGAGUAACGCGUGGGAAACUGCCUAUUGGUGGGGAAUAACGACGGGAAACUGUCGCUAAUACCGCAUAAGCCCUUCGGGGGAAAGAUUUAUCGCCGAUAGACUGUGCCCGCGUCCGAUUAGCUAGUUGGUGAGGUAAUGGCCCACCAAGGCGACGAUCGGUAGCUGGUCUGAGAGGAUGAUCAGCCACACUGGGACUGAGACACGGCCCAGACUCCUACGGGAGGCAGCAGUGGGGAAUAUUGGACAAUGGGCGAAAGCCUGAUCCAGCAAUGCCGCGUGAGUGAUGAAGGCCUUAGGGUUGUAAACCUCUUUCGGGUGGGACGAUGAUGACGGUACCACCAGAAGAAGCCCCGGCUAACUUCGUGCCAGCCGCCGCGGUAA